UGGGGAAUAUUGCACAAUGGAGGGAACUCUGAUGCAGCGACGCCGCGUGAACGAAGAAGGCUUUCGAGUCGUAAAGUUCUUUUAUAUGGGAAGAAAAUGACGGUACCAUAAGAAAAAGCCCCGGCUAACUACGUGCCAGCAGCCGCGGUAAUACGUAGGGGGCUAGCGUUGUCCGGAAUCACUGGGCGUAAAGGGUUCGCAGGCGGAAAUGCAAGUCAGGUGUAAAAGGCAGUAGCUUAACUACUGUAAGCAUUUGAAACUGCAUAUCUUGAGAAGAGUAGAGGUAAGUGGAAUUUUUAGUGUAGCGGUGAAAUGCGUAGAUAUUAAAAAGAAUACCGGUGGCGAAGGCGGCUUACUGGGCUCAUUCUGACGCUGAGGAACGAAAGCGUGGGUAGCAAACAGG
rnacentral:rRNA from 1 species